rnacentral:rRNA from 1 species
GACGGGNAGCCGGCCUGAGAGGGCGACCGGCCACACUGGGACUGAGACACGGCCCAGACUCCUACGGGAGGCAGCAGUGGGGAAUAUUGCACAAUGGGCGGAAGCCUGAUGCAGCGACGCCGCGUGAGGGAUGACGGCCUUCGGGUUGUAAACCUCUUUCAGCAGGGACGAAGCGAGAGUGACGGUACCUGCAGAAGAAGCACCGGCCAACUACGUGCCAGCAGCCGCGGUAAGACGUAGGGUGCGAGCGUUGUCCGGAUUUAUUGGGCGUAAAGAGCUCGUAGGCGGCUUGUCGCGUCGACCGUGAAAACUUGGGGCUCAACCCCAAGCCUGCGGUCGAUACGGGCAGGCUAGAGUUCGGUAGGGGAGACUGGAAUUCCUGGUGUAGCGGUGAAAUGCGCAGAUAUCAGGAGGAACACCGGUGGCGAAGGCGGGUCUCUGGGCCGAUACUGACGCUGAGGAGCGAAAGCGUGGGGAGCGAACAGGAUUAGAUACCCUGGUAGUCCACGCUGUAAACGUUGGGCGCUAGGUGUGGGGGACCUCUCCGGUUUCCUGUGCCGCAGCUAACGCAUUAAGCGCCCCGCCUGGGGAGUACGG